AGCGCGCGGGCCGCUCCCGGGCAGCCUCAAGGCUCCAAGAUGCAAACACGCACGUGGUGGGGUCACCCUGGUGUCACAUACCUGAUAUCACCGCCUCCCGAGAGGGCUCCGGACCCCCCAAACGUCCCCCGUGGCACGCACAGGAAAGGGGGCUUCCGGUUGCGGUCCGAUUUGGGGGUCCUGAACCCACCAGAGCUGGCCCGCUCGCCUCUUCUGAGUCCGAGAGGCACGACUUGAAUUCCUCCCCGAAACUCGGUUCCGGUGACCCUUUCCUGAUGUAAAUCCGAGCCUGUGAGAAGCUGACGAGAGAUGAAGCCGAUUACUUGGAGGGAGUCCACCACGAGACUCGGGGGGCAGAGGGGGGAGAUGCAGAACCUACGGCAAUAAAGGACCCCGUUUUUUGUAGCAUGGGAAGAUACACACCGGAGAGGGGGGAGGGGACAGGGGCAGGCUGGGUUUUGAGCAAGAGCGUACAUUUGAAAACCCGAAAUAAUUCAGCAAUAAAGGUCCUGGAUAACAGAUGCGAUCCCAGCACAUGGCUAGAGGGGAGAAGCCCGGCUGGGAGCCUGGAGGAGGUCCUACUGGUUAGGCGUUCAAACCUGUUCCUAAGAAGGAGGGAAGGGACGCUGGUAUCAGAACCACUGGGUAUAGUUGAGAUCCGGGUGUAGACAAGUGUGUAUAGUAAACGGUGCUUAGAGAAUUCUUAAAAACAAAACAAGCCCCCCCGCCCCUAAAAAAAAAAAAAAAACUGCUCCAGGUACAAGCAAGCUCCAGCAGAUUUACUGGGCGGGGAGGGGAGGGGCGGACGCGGAAGGAAAUGGCUUUCAGGUGACUUUGAAACAGGAUCCGGGCGGAGGGUGAGGUGAAGACAGCGGGGCUCCUGACUGCGGGGGAGGAGGUAUGCGCUGGGCCUCGCGGGCCCGGGACGCGGACCCACAUUCCUCAGGGAGGAGGGUCUGCGCCUGCCCUGCUGAGCCUGCACCGGCCGACUGGGAAGGUGAGAGUCGAAAACGUGGAAGGGGAUUCGGAGGUAAACAGCCGCCACGGCUCGACCAGAUGCAACCGGCCAGGCUCCGGGCUGCAGGACAAUUGGAGAAGGCCCGGUCCUUUCCUGCCUUCCAGACGGCAGUCCGUCCUCAGGCCUCCGUCUUCUUGGAUCCCGCUUUCUUCUCUGCUCACCGGAAUCCUACCAGUACCUUCCUGCCCACCUCAUAUUCCAGCUUCCUGAGAAAGCUGGUACUAUGCGAUUUACAUUGUCUCCCGUCGUCUACACAGCGGCCUAGGGAGCCAGUAACUAUCUGUAUGCCCAUUUUACAGAUUGGAUAACUGAGGAUGGGAGGGAUCUAGCAACUUGGCCAAGGUUGUGUAACCAACAAAAGGAGUGCAAGACGAAAUCCCAGGCAGAUCCCACAUUGAGUGCUUCCUAUGUGCUAGCCAUUAUUCUAAGCCUUUUAAAUGAACAGUUGCAGUCACAGAAAAAGAAGAAACUGAGGAGCCAAGAUCACACACUAGUGUGAUAGACCUGGGAUGCAUAAUGGGACCACUGCUCUUUACCAUCUAGUCUUUCUUUUUGAUACUUAUUAUAUUCAAUUCAGCAUUUGAUUAUAAUGUCUUGCAUUGUUUCUAAUGAUUUUAAUGUAUAUAUACAUCGAGUUUAUUUCCAAAAAAGUGUCAUGUUUUCUUACAGAAGCACUCAGUAAAGCAAUGCUGAAUCAGAUGAAAUAACCCAAACCAUUUGGGAGAAACCCACAAUCUCACCUCUAAGAAUAAAAACCUGUCCCUGGGCCCAGGAGCUGUAGGCUGCAGCUCCUCCAUCCACAACUCGCAGCCUCUCUCCUUCCUGCCCCUAUCCAUUCUUGCUUUAGUAGCUUCACUCUCCCUGCUAUUAAAUAAUUUAUUGUUAUAAUAAUACCUUGUGCCUCAGUGAUGCCUUUAAUCCAAGAUCUCAAAGUGUUCUUCUUCAUCGUACCCCCACUGACAUGGGGAGAUGGAGGUAUUUCCCCCACUUUAUGGGUGAGAAAAACCAAGACAACAUAGAGUAGAAAUGACUCACUAUGGAAAUCAAUGGCGUGGUUUCUUCUCUGGGCCCUUCCCCUCCUCCUUCCAAACUCUUGGCUGCCAACAUGUGCAUCAAAAUUUCAAAUUCCAGAGACAAAGGCCAUUGAGUUUUCACAAUAAAGGACAUUUGCAAA